CCUACGGGAGGCAGCAGUGAGGAAUAUUGGUCAAUGGACGAGAGUCUGAACCAGCCAAGUAGCGUGAAGGAUGACUGCCCUAUGGGUUGUAAACUUCUUUUAUAAAGGAAUAAAACGAGGCACGUGUGCCUUUUUGCAUGUACUUUAUGAAUAAGGAUCGGCUAACUCCGUGCCAGCAGCCGCGGUAAUACGGAGGAUCCGAGCGUUAUCCGGAUUUAUUGGGUUUAAAGGGUGCGUAGAUGGGUUGUUAAGUCAGUUGUGAAAGUUUGCGGCUCAACCGUGAAAUUGCAAUUGAUACUGGCAGUCUUGAGUACAGUUGAGGUAGGCGGAAUUCGUGGUGUAGCGGUGAAAUGCUUAGAUAUCACGAAGAACCCCGAUUGCGAAGGCAGCUUACCAAACUGUGACUGACAUUGAUGCUCGAAAGUGUGGGUAUCAAACAGGAUUAGAUACCCUUGUAGUC
rnacentral:rRNA from 1 species